GGGGCUUUGGCGCAAUUGGUAGCGCACCUGCUUUGCAAGCAGGGGGUUACGGGUUCGAGUCCCGUAAGCUCCACAA
rnacentral:tRNA from 1 species